UACGUAGGGCGCAAGCGUUGUCCGGAAUUAUUGGGCGUAAAGAGCUCGUAGGCGGUUGUCGCGUCUGCUGUGAAAACUCGGGGCUUAACCCCGGGCCUGCAGUGGGUACGGGCAGACUAGAGUGCGGUAGGGGAGACUGGAAUUCCUGGUGUAGCGGUGAAAUGCGCAGAUAUCAGGAGGAACACCGGUGGCGAAGGCGGGUCUCUGGGCCGUAACUGACGCUGAGGAGCGAAAGCGUGGGGAGCGAACAGG
rnacentral:rRNA from 1 species